GAUGAAGAACGUAGCGAAAUGCGAUACUUGGUGUGAAUUGCAGAAUCCCGUGAACCAUCGAGUCUUUGAACGCAAGUUGCGCCCGAAGCCAUUAGGCCGAGGGCACGCCUGCCUGGGCGUCACACGUCGUUGCCCCCCCAUCUACUCCUUCGGGAUUGCGGGGGGCGGAUGAUGGCCUCCUGUGCGCCACGCCGCGCGGUUGGCAUAAAUGCCAAGUCCUCGGCGACGCACGCCACGACAAUCGGUGGUUGCGAAACCUCGGUUGCCCGUCGUGUGCGGUCGUCGCGCAUCGAGGGCUCGAAAAAAUUGCCGGGUUCCGGCUCGGCUUUCAACGCGACCCCAGGUCAGGCGGGGUUUCCCGCUGAAUUUAAGCAUAUCAAUAAGCGGAGGA
rnacentral:misc_RNA from 1 species